rnacentral:tRNA from 1 species
GCCGGUUGUAGCGUAAUGGUAACGCACCAAGAAGCUAGCGAUAACAUGACUUGGAGAAUGAGGUUCAAUUCCUCCGCCGGUGCCA